rnacentral:rRNA from 1 species
GACGGAGGAUGCAAGUGUUAUCCGGAAUCACUGGGCGUAAAGCGUCUGUAGGUGGUUUAAUAAGUCAACUGUUAAAUCUUGAGGCUCAACCUCAAAAUCGCAGUCGAAACUAUUAGGCUAGAGUAUAGUAGGGGUAAAGGGAAUUUCCAGUGGAGCGGUGAAAUGCGUAGAGAUCGGGAGGAACACCUAUGGCGAAAGCAGCUGCCUGGGCCUCUAUUGACGCUAAGACUCGAAAGCUGGGGGAGCAAACAGG